rnacentral:rRNA from 1 species
UACGAAGGGUGCAAGCGUUACUCGGAAUUACUGGGCGUAAAGCGUGCGUAGGUGGUUCGUUAAGUCUGAUGUGAAAGCCCCGGGCUCAACCUGGGAAUUGCAUUGGAUACUGGCGGGCUAGAGUGCGGUAGAGGAUGGCGGAAUUCCCGGUGUAGCAGUGAAAUGCGUAGAGAUCGGGAGGAACAUCCGUGGCGAAGGCGGCCAUCUGGACCAGCACUGACACUGAGGCACGAAAGCGUGGGGAGCAAACAGG